rnacentral:rRNA from 1 species
ACUCCUACGGGAGGCAGCAGUAAGGAAUAUUGCGCAAUGGACGAAAGUCUGACGCAGCGACGCCGCGUGGGGGAUGAAGGUCUUCGGAUUGUAAACCCCUUUCGGCAGGGAAGAUGGAACGGGUAACCGUUCGGACGGUACCUGCAGAAGCAGCCACGGCUAACUUCGUGCCAGCAGCCGCGGUAAUACGAAGGUGGCAAGCGUUGUUCGGAUUCACUGGGCGUACAGGGAGCGUAGGCGGUUGGGUAAGCCCUCCGUGAAAUCUCCGGGCCUAACCCGGAAGGUGCAGAGGGGACUGCUCGGCUAGAGGAUGGGAGAGGAGCGCGGAAUUCCCG